rnacentral:rRNA from 1 species
UACGUAGGUGGCAAGCGUUGUCCGGAUUUAUUGGGCGUAAAGAGCUCGUAGGCGGUUCGGUAAGUCAGAUGUAAAAACUCCAGGCUCAACUUGGAGAGGCCAUCUGAUACUGCCGUGACUAGAGUCCGGUAGAGGAGCACGGAAUUCCUGGUGUAGCGGUGAAAUGCGCAGAUAUCAGGAGGAACACCAGCGGCGAAGGCGGUGCUCUGGGCCGGAACUGACGCUGAGGAGCGAAAGCGUGGGGAGCGAACAGG